AUUGAACGCUGGCGGCAGGCCUAACACAUGCAAGUCGAGCGAGUGGCGGACGGGUGAGUAAUGCUUGGGAAUCUAGCUUAUGGAGGGGGAUAACUACGGGAAACUGUAGCUAAUACCGCGUACCAUAGGAUGAGCCCAAGUGUGAUUAGGUAGUGGGUGAGGUAAAGGCUCACAAAGCCGACGAUCUCUAGCUGGUCUGAGCGGAGGACCAGCCAAACUGGGACUGAGAAACGGCCCAGACUCCUACGGGAGGCAGCAGUGGGGAAUCUUGCGCAAUGGGGGAAACCUGACGCAGCCAUGCCGCGUGAAUGAAGAAGUCCUUCGGGUUGUAAAGUUCUUUCGGUAGCGAGGCGUUAACUACAGAAGAAGCACCGGCUAACUCCGUGCCAGCCGCCGCGGUAAUAC
rnacentral:rRNA from 1 species